AUUGAACGCUGGCGGAAUGCUUUACACAUGCAAGUCGAACGGCAGCACGGGGGCAACCCUGGUGGCGAGUGGCGAACGGGUGAGUAAUACAUCGGAACGUGCCCAGUCGUGGGGGAUAACGUAGCGAAAGUUACGCUAAUACCGCAUACGAUCUACGGAUAAAAGCGGGGGACCGUAAGGCCUCGCGCGAUUGGAGCGGCCGAUGUCAGAUUAGGUAGUUGGUGAGGUAAAGGCUCACCAAGCCGACGAUCUGUAGCUGGUCUGAGAGGACGACCAGCCACACUGGGACUGAGACACGGCCCAGACUCCUACGGGAGGCAGCAGUGGGGAAUUUUGGACAAUGGGCGCAAGCCCGAUCCAGCCAUUCCGCGUGCAGGACGAAGGCCUUCGGGUUGUAAACUGCUUUUGUACGGAACGAAAAGGCUCUGGUUAAUACCUGGGGCUCAUGACGGUACCGUAAGAAUAAGCACCGGCUAACUACGUGCCAGCCGCCGCUGUAA
rnacentral:rRNA from 1 species